rnacentral:lncRNA from 1 species
UUUUGCUCUUGGCCCCUUGCUCAUAAAAAGUACUACUGCAGGUUGGGCUGCUGCAGAAGCAGGCUCUGAGAUAGAAUCUAGUGUGCAGGAUAUUUAUAAGGAGGGUCCUUGGGAUCUAUGCAUUCCACAGGAAGAGACUAAGGCAGAACUGGGUAGAGGAAGAAGUUGAAAUGUGGUGCAGGCCCAGUGACGGCCUGGCUGAGCUCAUGAGAGCUCUUGAGCUAGAAUGGUCUUGCUAGAGUUGAGCCAGAUGGCAAGGUCUUCUUACUCCAAAGCUAUUAGUCACUAGAUAUGGGCUGCCCAGGAGGGGCUUGAUCAUGAGCAAGGCAGCUUGCCUGAAGGGAUGGCAGCUGAAGGCUGUCUGUUGACAGACUUCCAGCAGCUGGGACAACAAGCUCUUAUUUCAGGGAGGUCUGGGUGGUGUAUCUCAGUGUCCCACACAUGAACAUUACUUUGGAAUGAGUGUUUCCACAGCACAGGAGCCCAGCAUGAGGGAUGUACAGGAAAAUCUGCAGGCCUGGGUGUCAGCCCUGAGUCAGGACUCUGACUCUGUUGCUUCUUAGCUGUGGGACCAUGGUUGCAUGAUCAAGCUGACUUGAGGGUUCUGAACAGAAGCUGACCAGUCUACUGCACAUUGUAAAGAAGUUAAAAAGCUGGAUUGAAUUGCAAAAUGUACUACUCAAGGAGUCCAAAGAAUAAAAUAUGAGCAGCUUGUGGGGGUAAAGCAUUCGUAGGUAUAGUAUAGAAAAGGUCCAUGAGCAUCAUGUCAGUGUCUUUUAACUUUCCAUUGCAGUGGAAUAAUCCUUUAUGCGUUUAUGAAAAUCUUUGGAAAAGAAGCCACGUCACUGGGUGGUUCCUACUUAUUUUCCUCUCCAGGGGCCUUUGCUGCUCUUGCUGGGUGCCUCAGUUGCUAGCUUUGUGAGUAGUAAUGCCCCACUGUUCCCAGCUCCUUGCUUGCUGGGUGUGAGGACAGAGGCUAUCAUAGCAAUAAUUGCUGGAUGUUCUGUGUUUGCACAUCUGUGGUGGCCUUCUGAAUUGAGUUUCGUGCCAGAGCCAGGCAGCGCCUCCCUACCCCACCCUCCCACUGCCCCUUUAUUUUCUGUGUCACACCAUUAAAAGAAAUGAGAUUAUGGCACAAAUCAUCAUUCAUAUGACUCUAGCAUAGAAGGUUAGCGAGAUAUUGCAGAGAUAAUUCCAUAGCCACCAUGGCCCCUGACAAUAAUUACAAUGUGGCCACAGGGGA